rnacentral:rRNA from 1 species
UACGAAGGGGGCUAGCGUUGUUCGGAAUUACUGGGCGUAAAGCGCGCGUAGGCGGUGAUCUUUGUCAGAGGUGAAAGCCCGGGGCUCAACUCCGGAAUUGCCUUUGAAACGGGAUCGCUAGAGUCCGAGAGAGGAUGGCGGAAUUUCUAUUGUAGAGGUGAAAUUCGUAGAUAUUAGGAAGAACACCGGUGGCGAAGGCGGCCAUCUGGCUCGGUACUGACGCUCAGGCGCGAAAGCGUGGGGAGCAAACAGG